UCACUGCUGGAAGAAGAAGAGGAAGAGAUUCAAAACUUAUUUGAAAAAAUAAUGAAAGAAAACUUCUUUAAUUUGGUGAAGGAAAUAGGCAUACAAGUCUAGGAAGCACAGAGAGCCCCACACUAGAUGGACACAAAGAACACCACACCCAGCCACAUUAUAAUAAAAAUACGAAAGAGAGAAUCUUAAAAGCAGCAAG